AGUGAACGCUGGCGGUAGGCCUAACACAUGCAAGUCGAACGGCAGCACAGUAAGAGCUUGCUCUUACGGGUGGCGAGUGGCGGACGGGUGAGGAAUACAUCGGAAUCUACUUUUUCGUGGGGGAUAACGUAGUGAAACUUACGCUAAUACCGCAUACGACCUACGGGUGAAAGCAGGGGAUCUUCGGACCUUGCGCGAUUGAAUGAGCCGAUGUCGGAUUAGCUAGUUGGCGGGGUAAAGGCCCACCAAGGCGACGAUCCGUAGCUGGUCUGAGAGGAUGAUCAGCCACACUGGAACUGAGACACGGUCCAGACUCCUACGGGAGGCAGCAGUGGGGAAUAUUGGACAAUGGGCGCAAGCCUGAUCCAGCCAUACCGCGUGGGUGAAGAAGGCCUUCGGGUUGGAAAGCCCUUUUGUUGGGAAAGAAAAGCAGCAGGUUAAUACCCCGCUGUUCUGACGGUACCCAAAGAAUAAGCACCGGCUAACUUCGUG
rnacentral:rRNA from 1 species